rnacentral:rRNA from 1 species
UGGGGAAUUUUGGACAAUGGGCGAAAGCCUGAUCCAGCAAUGCCGCGUGUGUGAAGAAGGCCUUCGGGUUGUAAAGCACUUUUGUCCGGAAAGAAAUCCUUGGCUCUAAUACAGUCGGGGGAUGACGGUACCGGAAGAAUAAGCACCGGCUAACUACGUGCCAGCAGCCGCGGUAAUACGUAGGGUGCAAGCGUUAAUCGGAAUUACUGGGCGUAAAGCGUGCGCAGGCGGUUUGCUAAGACCGAUGUGAAAUCCCCGGGCUCAACCUGGGAACUGCAUUGGUGACUGGCAGGCUAGAGUAUGGCAGAGGGGGGCAGAAUUCCACGUGUAGCAGUGAAAUGCGUAGAGAUGUGGAGGAAUACCGAUGGCGAAGGCAGCCCCCUGGGCCAAUACUGACGCUCAUGCACGAAAGCGUGGGGAGCAAACAGGAUUAGAUACCCUGGUAGUCCACGCCCUAAACGAUGUCAACUAGUUGUUGGGGAUUCAUUUCCUUAGUAACGUAGCUAACGCGUGAAGUUGACCGCCUAGGGAGUACGGUCGCAAGAUUAAAACUCAAAUGAAUUGACGGGGUCAUAGCUGUUUCCU